rnacentral:rRNA from 1 species
AGUGAACGCUGGCGGUAGGCCUAACACAUGCAAGUCGAACGGCAGCACAGUAAGAGCUUGCUCUUACGGGUGGCGAGUGGCGGACGGGUGAGGAAUACAUCGGAAUCUACUUUUUCGUGGGGGAUAACGUAGGGAAACUUACGCUAAUACCGCAUACGACCUACGGGUGAAAGCAGGGGAUCUUCGGACCUUGCGCGAUUGAAUGAGCCGAUGUCGGAUUAGCUAGUUGGCGGGGUAAAGGCCCACCAAGGCGACGAUCCGUAGCUGGUCUGAGAGGAUGAUCAGCCACACUGGAACUGAGACACGGUCCAGACUCCUACGGGAGGCAGCAGUGGGGAAUAUUGGACAAUGGGCGCAAGCCUGAUCCAGCCAUACCGCGUGGGUGAAGAAGGCCUUCGGGUUGUAAAGCCCUUUUGUUGGGAAAGAAAAGCAGCAGGUUAAUACCCCGCUGUUCUGACGGUACCCAAAGAAUAAGCACCGGCAAACUUCGUG